GUGUUCUAUUUGGCAACAUGAAUACUAAAAUUUGAAUGAUACAGAGAAGAUUUCAUAUGGCUCCCAUGUAAGAAUGACAUGUAAAUUUAUGAAGUGUUCUUUAUUUUG
ensembl:snRNA U6 U6 spliceosomal RNA